CUUGUGUCAGCCUACAGGAACAAGUUUACUCGUACCCAUAACACUGCCUUUCACAAACAUUACGGGACAAAGAUUGUAGAGCGACAAUGCAGGAAUCCCUCUCUGGAAGCAUUGGAGAGGGGCGACGAUGUCACCUUUGAAGAGUUUGUUUACUACCUAGUGGACCCCAUGACUCAGAGAGAGGAGCCAUUUAAUGAGCACUGGGAGAGGGUACAUUCUCUGUGUCAUCCCUGGAUUGUUCACUAUGAUGUGGUAGGGAAGUAUGAGACUCUAG